rnacentral:lncRNA from 1 species
UGUCCCCACAUCCCAAUGUCCCCAGUGUCCCUGUGUCCUCCAUGUCCCCAAUGUCCCCAGUGUCCCCAUGUCCCCGUGUCCCCAUGUCUCUGUGUCCCCAUGUCCCCAUGUCCCUGUGUCCCCAGUGUCACC